rnacentral:rRNA from 1 species
GUAGGGAAUAUUGGACAAUGGGCGAAAGCCUGAUCCAGCAAUGCCGCGUGAGUGAUGAAGGCCUUAGGGUUGUAAAGCUCUUUUACCAGGGAUGAUAAUGACAGUACCUGGAGAAUAAGCUCCGGCUAACUCCGUGCCAGCAGCCGCGGUAAUACGGAGGGAGCUAGCGUGGGUCGGAAUUACUGGGCGUAAAGCGCGCGUAGGCGGCGAUUGAAGUCAGAGGUGAAAGCCCGGGGCUCAACCCCGGAAUAGCCUUUGAGACUGGAUUGCUAGAAUCCUGGAGAGGUGAGUGGAAUUCCGAGUGUAGAGGUGAAAUUCGUAGAUAUUCGGAGGAACACCAGUGGCGAAGGCGGCUCACUGGCUCGAUACUGACGCUGAGGUGCGAAAGCGUGGGGAGCAAACAGGAUUAGAAACCCUGGUAGUCC